GGGAAUGCAACGGUUUCGACGGAUUGAAAGAUGGUUAAAACUGCAUAUAGUGGUGCUGCUACAACUUUAAAAUGGCAGAAAAAAACAAACAACAACAACGUAGAAUAUAACUACGCUAUGGCUGCUUAAUAAAAUAAGCAACCUCGCAUUUGAUUUUCUGCUCACCGGAAAUUAAAAUGCGUCAUUCAGAUGAGAUAGUUUAAGCUGUUUUCCGUGCUGUUUAAAUGAAACUAAAGCGGAAUAGUAAAAUCAGGUUUGUCCUGCUUCCAUGAUUUUGCGAUGCUCAAAGCGGGAACUAAAUAUGUAGAGGUUUUAAUGGUCUUCUUUCCGGACCCGAGUUCGACUCUCGGCAUUUCCACUA
rnacentral:tmRNA from 1 species